rnacentral:rRNA from 1 species
UGGGGAAUAUUGCACAAUGGACGGAAGUUUGAUGCAGCGACGCCGCGUGGAGGGUGUAGACCUUCGGGUUGUGAACUCCUUUUUCUCGCGAAAAAGGCACAGUUUUGGCUGUGUUGAUGGUAGUGGGGGAAGAAGCGCCGGCUAACUACGUGCCAGCAGCCGCGGUAAUACGUAGGGCGCGAGCGUUGUCCGGAUUUAUUGGGCGUAAAGAGCUCGUAGGUGGUUCGUCGCGUCUGUCGUGAAAGCCAGCAGCUUAACUGUUGGUCUGCGGUGGGUACGGGCGGGCUUGAGUGCGGUAGGGGUGACUGGAAUUCCUGGUGUAGCGGUGGAAUGCGCAGAUAUCAGGAGGAACACCGAUGGCGAAGGCAGGUCACUGGGCCGUUACUGACACUGAGGAGCGAAAGCGUGGGGAGCGAACAGG